rnacentral:lncRNA from 1 species
CCCACGGUUUCCACCCAUCGCACGCACCUCUUCGCUCGAAAUGCAAAUUAUAUAUCCAGAUCAAAACUGCGAAUUGUAUUCUUGGAACGGAAAUCGAUACUCAAUGAUUUGGUUCUUCGCUAAUUGUUCUGGUCUUAAAUUGAUCAAAUACAUCGAAUGAGCAAUUAGUGUCACUGCUAUUGAUUUUUUCAUAAAAUUUGUUUCUGAGUUUUGAUGCCCAAAACAGGGGAUAUGAUCAGAUUUUUGUUCUUUGUUUGAAUCUUGGAACCAAGGAUCUGUAAAAAGCAACCUUAAUCCUGAACACACUCAAAUAUGCAUAUCUGUUUCGUACGUGAAUUGACAGUAAGUUUGUUCUACAAACAAUAUAGGAAUUAAACAUGUUCGAUUUUAUCUAAAACGUCGGUCUAGAAAUUAAGAUUUGGCAAUUAUCCAAAAAGAGAAGAAUUUAAGGCACCAUUUGAAAACAACGUCCUCUUCUUCAUAUUGGUAUCGAUACCCGAAUCAAAGAAUUGAUAUUCAAUUUGUCGUUUGAAGUUCCGUCAAAACUCUGAUCUCGGAGAGAGGUUAUUGAUUCGUUAAACUAUGUUAUUGUUUUUUUUUUUGGGGGGGGGGGGGUUGUUCAAUUAUUUGGGUAAAAGUUGAAAGUUUAUUCAGUUUUUAUUGAUUUGUUGGGGAUUUAUGAUUUAUUUUUUAGGGGUUCAUAGUUGGUUAGCGAAUCAAGUUAAUUAACUUUGAAGGAAUUCAAAAUUUUAAUAGUUUUCGUCUGUCUCAGAUGUUGGAAACUUUUUAUAGAAUUAAUGUUGGUGCUUUAAAGCUAAUGCCUUCUAAUGACACCCGUUGAAGAUAUUGGGUUGCUGAUGAAGAGUUUUUAUCUAUAAAAUCAUCUGCACAUGUACUAAAUUAUCAAAAAGGGGUGCUUUUAAAGAAGUGGCUCCUGAUAAUUUUUAUAUGACUGCUCAAGAAAAGUAGAAGCAAUCUGAGUAUAGAUUCUGUGUUUAAUGUGACAAGGGGGUUUUCGGUUGAUUCGGAUCACGGUGUGACGUAUUUUGUUAGAUUGCAUUUUUGUGAUAUAGAGUUUGUCAUUGAAUCGGUUUUAUUUCUAAGUGUUUGUUAACCGGUACCCUUUGGCCCAUCGGAUUUGAGUGCUAGAAAGGGAUUUGGAGAUGUCAAUGAAUUCGGCGAUAAGAUCCAUGCGUGGUUGCAGUUCCAGUUCCGAACUCAUGUCGAAACGGAUUCUUAAAUGAUGAGGUACGCUGUAAACCAAAUGGUAAACAAGCUUAAAAAGAAAGUGUGGGAGACAAUGUUUAUGUUGACAUGCUGGAAAAUCUGGAUGGGCAAAUACAUAUGAUUUUUAAACUUAUUUUUACCCCUACUCACAAGAUAGUUUAGGGCAUAAAAUAAAAUUCACUUUGGUGGAUACAGAAUAGAACAAAAUGGAAGCAUUGCAAUUAGUUUAAAUAAGUUUCCCAAAAUUGUAACUUACUCAUAGUUUUGAUCUUCUGUUUUAUUUUUAUUUUUCUAAAUUUAAUCAUCAUCAACAACCAUGUAAAUAAGUUAAUUUUAUCUCAUGCGUUGACUAAAAUU